AUGCUCACUUUGGCAGCAUAUAUACUAAAAUUGAAGUUAUAAAGAGAAGGUUAGCAUGGCCCCUGCACAAAGAUGACAUCCAAAUUACCUUAAGUUUUAUAAACCAAU
ensembl:snRNA U6 U6 spliceosomal RNA